rnacentral:tRNA from 1 species
GCUAAUAUGGCAGAAAAGUGCAAUGAAUUUAAGAUUCAUUUAUAAAGAUUUAUCUUUUUUUAGUA